AUUGGGUCUCAGAGAUGUUAAAUGACUGGCCUGUGAUGACACAACUAGAAAGGGGCAGAACAUCCCAAUGUAGGCUGAUGCCUGAACCAGGACACUUAAUCUGCAUGCUGUCCUCCCUCUGCAGACACAAUGGCAAUGAAUGGACCACACCAAAUCUACAGUGAAUAUGCAGCAAGAGACCUGAGCCAAGUAACCCCAGCACAGUCUGAGAUGUGCAAGGCAGAAGCAAAUUUAAGGAGAAUGAAACGGAAAGCAAGGCCCAAUUAAAAUCCAAAUGAACAGGAAGCACGAUGCAAAAGCAAACUUGGAAAAAGCCAAGGCGAGAGAGGAACACUUUGGAAGAAGGUGAGACAAAAAGAAAACUGCAGGAGAAAUGUCCUCUGCAGCCCAAACUGGCCUCAUCCAAUAGCUCUGGAACAAGUUUUUAUCUUCGUAAGUUAUAGCUGGCUGCAGCCAACUGUUUGCAUAGUGUGUGGAUUGAGACGUUUUAUUGCUUUAUGAAUGCAAUAAAACAAAUGUGAUUAAAGGCAAUGAUAACACUUGCAUCCUGGUGAAGAAGAUGGGAAUGCUGUUGCCAGGGCUUUAUCUGGAACAGAGUGUUUUAAUCAGAGAAGAGAAACCUGUUUCCCAUCCUUGUUUUGGGGAGACAACACAGGAAUGGAUGGACGAUAAAAAUUUUUAAAGAGUCAAGAUCUAAAAAGAUGGUGAAGCUGUUGGGAUGGGGGUGAGAGACAAAAAUGGGGAGCUAUUAACAGCUCAAAAUAUAAGCAGGUAUGCUUGGCCUCUUAGAGGAAACCGACGUGGCAUCUGAAGCACAUAGGGGAAUGAGAUGGAAGAAAUCUUGACCACACUGUGACGACAAUGCUUCCAAAAGGGAUUAGAGUAGAAUGUUUCUUUGCCAGCAGAGGAAAAUUAUGGUGCAAGGAAAUGUAAAGAAUUCAGGAAUUCAAAGAAAGAUAAGGGCAAGGGCCCACUGUGGGAAAGAGGGGAGAAGAAAGAUAUUUUUGGGAUUUUCAUUCACAGAUAAGGGGAAUCAUGAGUUCCAGUAACUGUGCUGGGUGCUUUGGCCUAGAAGAGGGA
rnacentral:lncRNA from 10 species